AUUUGAAGAGCUUGCUCAGAUAUGACGAUGGACAUUGCAAAGAGUGGCGAACGGGUGAGUAACACGUGGGAAACCUACCUCUUAGCAGGGGAUAACAUUUGGAAACAGAUGCUAAUACCGUAUAACAAUGACAACCGCAUGGUUGUUAUUUAAAAGAUGGUUCUGCUAUCACUAAGAGAUGGUCCCGCGGUGCAUUAGCUAGUUGGUAAGGUAAUGGCUUACCAAGGCGAUGAUGCAUAGCCGAGUUGAGAGACUGAUCGGCCACAAUGGGACUGAGACACGGCCCAUACUCCUACGGGAGGCAGCAGUAGGGAAUCUUCCACAAUGGGCGAAAGCCUGAUGGAGCAACGCCGCGUGUGUGAUGAAGGGUUUCGGCUCGUAAAACACUGUUGUAAGAGAAGAAUGACAUUGAGAGUAACUGUUCAAUGUGUGACGGUAUCUUACCAGAAAGGAACGGCUAAAUACGUGCCAGCAGCCGCGGUAAUACGUAUGUUCCAAGCGUUAUCCGGAUUUAUUGGGCGUAAAGCGAGCGCAGACGGUUAUUUAAGUCUGAAGUGAAAGCCCUCAGCUCAACUGAGGAAUUGCUUUGGAAACUGGAUGACUUGAGUGCAGUAGAGGAAAGUGGAACUCCAUGUGUAGCGGUGAAAUGCGUAGAUAUAUGGAAGAACACCAGUGGCGAAGGCGGCUUUCUGGACUGUAACUGACGUUGAGGCUCGAAAGUGUGGGUAGCAAACAGGAUUAGAUACCCUGGUAGUCCACACCGUAAACGAUGAGUGCUAGGUGUUUGAGGGUUUCCGCCCUUAAGUGCCGCAGCUAACGCAUUAAGCACUCCGCCUGGGGAGUACGACCGCAAGGUUGAAACUCAAAGGAAUUGACGGGGACCCGCACAAGCGGUGGAGCAUGGGUUUAAUUCGAAGCAACGCGAAGAACCUUACCAGGUCUUGACAUCCCUUGACAACUCCAGAGAUGGAGCGUUCCCUUCGGGGACAAGGUGACAGGUGGUGCAUGGUUGUCGUCAGCUCGUGUCGUGAGAUGUUGGGUUAAGUCCCGCAACGAGCGCAACCCUUAUUACUAGUUGCCAGCAUUCAGUUGGGCACUCUAGUGAGACUGCCGGUGACAAACCGGAGGAAGGUGGGGAUGACGUCAAAUCAUCAUGCCCCUUAUGACCUGGGCUACACACGUGCUACAAUGGCGUAUACAACGAGUUGCCAACCCGCGAGGGUGAGCUAAUCUCUUAAAGUACGUCUCAGUUCGGAUUGUAGGCUGCAACUCGCCUACAUGAAGUCGGAAUCGCUAGUAAUCGCGGAUCAGCACGCCGCGGUGAAUACGUUCCCGGGUCUUGUACACACCGCCCGUCACACCAUGAGAGUUUGUAACACCCAAAGCC
rnacentral:rRNA from 1 species